rnacentral:rRNA from 1 species
AGAGUUUGAUCAUGGCUCAGGACGAACGCUGGCGGCGUGCUUAACACAUGCAAGUCGAGCGGAAAGGCCCUUCGGGGUACUCGAGCGGCGAACGGGUGAGUAACACGUGAGCAACCUGCCCUUGGCUUUGGGAUAACCCUCGGAAACGGGGGCUAAUACCGGAUAUCCACUUUCUGUCGCAUGGUGGUUGGUGGAAAGUUUUUCGGCUGGGGAUGGGCUCGCGGCCUAUCAGCUUGUUGGUGGGGUGAUGGCCUACCAAGGCGACGACGGGUAGCCGGCCUGAGAGGGCGACCGGCCACACUGGGACUGAGACACGGCCCAGACUCCUACGGGAGGCAGCAGUGGGGAAUAUUGCACAAUGGGCGAAAGCCUGAUGCAGCGACGCCGCGUGAGGGAAGACGGCCUUCGGGUUGUAAACCUCUUUCAGCAGGGACGAAGCGAGAGUGACGGUACCUGCAGAAGAAGCGCCGGCCAACUACGUGCCAGCAGCCGCGGUAAGACGUAGGGCGCGAGCGUUGUCCGGAUUUAUUGGGCGUAAAGAGCUCGUAGGCGGCUUGUCGCGUCGACUGUGAAAACCUGCGGCUCAACCGUGUGGUCUGCAGUCGAUACGGGCAGGCUAGAGUUCGGUAGGGGAGACUGGAAUUCCUGGUGUAGCGGUGAAAUGCGCAGAUAUCAGGAGGAACACCGGUGGCGAAGGCGGGUCUCUGGGCCGAUACUGACGCUGAGGAGCGAAAGCGUGGGGAGCGAACAGGAUUAGAUACCCUAGUAGUCC